rnacentral:rRNA from 1 species
UGGGGAAUAUUGGGCAAUGGGCGCAAGCCUGACCCAGCAACGCCGCGUGAGGGAAGAAGGUCUUCGGAUUGUAAACCUCUGUCCUUGGGGACGAAAAAAAUGACGGUACCCAAGGAGGAAGCUCCGGCUAACUACGUGCCAGCAGCCGCGGUAAUACGUAGGGAGCGAGCGUUGUCCGGAAUUACUGGGCGUAAAGGGUGCGUAGGCGGCGCUGCAAGUCAGAUGUGAAAUCCCCGGGCUUAACUCGGGGGGGGCAUUUGAAACUGCAGUGCUUGAGUGCAGGAGAGGAAAGCGGAAUUCCUAGUGUAGCGGUGAAAUGCGUAGAUAUUAGGAAGAACACCAGUGGCGAAGGCGGCUUUCUGGACUGUAACUGACGCUGAUGCACGAAAGCGUGGGGAGCAAACA